GUUGCAGGGUAUAGACCCGAAACCCGGUGAUCUAGCCAUGGGCAGGUUGAAGGUUGGGUAACACUAACUGGAGGACCGAACCGACUAAUGUUGAAAAAUUAGCGGAUGACUUGUGGCUGGGGGUGAAAGGCCAAUCAAACCGGGAGAUAGCUGGUUCUCCCCGAAAGCUAUUUAGGUAGCGCCUCGUGAAUUCAUCUCCGGGGGUAGAGCACUGUUUCGGCAAGGGGGUCAUCCCGACUUACCAACCCGAUGCAAACUGCGAAUACCGGAGAAUGUUAUCACGGGAGACACACGGCGGGUGCUAACGUCCGUCGUGAAGAGGGAAACAACCCAGACCGCCAGCUAAGGUCCCAAAGUCAUGGUUAAGUGGGAAACGAUGUGGGAAGGCCCAGACAGCCAGGAUGUUGGCUUAGAAGCAGCCAUCAUUUAAAGAAAGCGUAAUAGCUCACUGGUCGAGUCGGCCUGCGCGGAAGAUGUAACGGGGCUAAACCAUGCACCGAAGCUGCGGCAGCGACACUAUGUGUUGUUGGGUAGGGGAGCGUUCUGUAAGCCUGUGAAGGUGGCCUGUGAGGGUUGCUGGAGGUAUCAGAAGUGCGAAUGCUGACAUAAGUAACGAUAAAGCGGGUGAAAAGCCCGCUCGCCGGAAGACCAAGGGUUCCUGUCCAACGUUAAUCGGGGCAGGGUGAGUCGACCCCUAAGGCGAGGCCGAAAGGCGUAGUCGAUGGGAAACAGGUUAAUAUUCCUGUACUUGGUGUUACUGCGAAGGGGGGACGGAGAAGGCUAUGUUGGCCGGGCGACGGUUGUCCCGGUUUAAGCGUGUAGGCUGGUUUUCCAGGCAAAUCCGGAAAACCAAGGCUGAGGCGUGAUGACGAGGCACUACGGUGCUGAAGCGACAAAUGCCCUGCUUCCAGGAAAAGCCUCUAAGCAUCAGGUAACAUCAAAUCGUACCCCAAACCGACACAGGUGGUCAGGUAGAGAAUACCAAGGCGCUUGAGAGAACUCGGGUGAAGGAACUAGGCAAAAUGGUGCCGUAACUUCGGGAGAAGGCACGCUGAUAUGUAGGUGAAGCGACUUGCUCGUGGAGCUGAAAUCAGUCGAAGAUACCAGCUGGCUGCAACUGUUUAUUAAAAACACAGCACUGUGCAAACACGAAAGUGGACGUAUACGGUGUGACGCCUGCCCGGUGCCGGAAGGUUAAUUGAUGGGGUUAGCGGUAACGCGAAGCUCUUGAUCGAAGCCCCGGUAAACGGCGGCCGUAACUAUAACGGUCCUAAGGUAGCGAAAUUCCUUGUCGGGUAAGUUCCGACCUGCACGAAUGGCGUAAUGAUGGCCAGGCUGUCUCCACCCGAGACUCAGUGAAAUUGAACUCGCUGUGAAGAUGCAGUGUACCCGCGGCAAGACGGAAAGACCCCGUGAACCUUUACUAUAGCUUGACACUGAACAUUGAGCCUUGAUGUGUAGGAUAGGUGGGAGGCUUUGAAGUGUGGACGCCAGUCUGCAUGGAGCCGACCUUGAAAUACCACCCUUUAAUGUUUGAUGUUCUAACGUUGGCCCGUAAUCCGGGUUGCGGACAGUGUCUGGUGGGUAGUUUGACUGGGGCGGUCUCCUCCUAAAGAGUAACGGAGGAGCACGAAGGUUGGCUAAUCCUGGUCGGACAUCAGGAGGUUAGUGCAAUGGCAUAAGCCAGCUUGACUGCGAGCGUGACGGCGCGAGCAGGUGCGAAAGCAGGUCAUAGUGAUCCGGUGGUUCUGAAUGGAAGGGCCAUCGCUCAACGGAUAAAAGGUACUCCGGGGAUAACAGGCUGAUACCGCCCAAGAGUUCAUAUCGACGGCGGUGUUUGGCACCUCGAUGUCGGCUCAUCACAUCCUGGGGCUGAAGUAGGUCCCAAGGGUAUGGCUGUUCGCCAUUUAAAGUGGUACGCGAGCUGGGUUUAGAACGUCGUGAGACAGUUCGGUCCCUAUCUGCCGUGGGCGCUGGAGAACUGAGGGGGGCUGCUCCUAGUACGAGAGGACCGGAGUGGACGCAUCACUGGUGUUCGGGUUGUCAUGCCAAUGGCACUGCCCGGUAGCUAAAUGCGGAAGAGAUAAGUGCUGAAAGCAUCUAAGCACGAAACUUGC
rnacentral:rRNA from 1 species